AACAAACGCUGGCGGCAUGCCUUACACAUGCAAGUCGAACGGUAACAGGUCUUCGGAUGCUGACGAGUGGCGAACGGGUGAGUAAUACAUCGGAACGUGCCUAGUAGUGGGGGAUAACUACUCGAAAGAGUGGCUAAUACCGCAUGAGAUCUACGGAUGAAAGCAGGGGAUCGCAAGACCUUGUGCUACUAGAGCGGCCGAUGGCAGAUUAGGUAGUUGGUGGGAUAAAAGCUUACCAAGCCGACGAUCUGUAGCUGGUCUGAGAGGACGAUCAGCCACACUGGGACUGAGACACGGCCCAGACUCCUACGGGAGGCAGCAGUGGGGAAUUUUGGACAAUGGACGCAAGCCUGAUCCAGCAAUGCCGCGUGCAGGAUGAAGGCCUUCGGGUUGUAAACUGCUUUUGUACGGAACGAAAAGCCCUGGGUUAAUACCCUGGGGUCAUGACGGUACCGUAAGAAUAAGCACCGGCUAACUACGUGCCAGCCGCCGCCGUAAUAC
rnacentral:rRNA from 1 species